CCACUGCCUUCGCCGCCGCUGCCACCGCCACCACCACCACCUCCUUUACCGCCGGAAGAGUCUCAAACAUAGAGAGAAGUCAAACAGUAAGAAGGCACACGCCGAAAGACUGCUUCUAGAAUUUGUGAAAGUUACCUUUCACCUAAGUCUCACUGGAGUCUUGGAGACAUCUUUUUUCAGAGUCCAUUAAUUUAUUGCAGAAAAUGUGGACCCCAGCUAUGCAGCGCUACUGGACUGCAAUUCCUGGCAUUCCAUGCUGGAGUCUGAAUGGGCUUCAAUAUCCAGGUGUGCUGCCAUCUAGCCUCCUAGGGGAAUAAACAGCCCUUAGAGAUAGUUGUUCCCUGUCUUUCCCUUUUAUCCCGGUAAGGAAAGGUAUUGUAAGUACAUCUGGUCGGGAUGCCUGUCCAUCUGCCAGGGACUUCCCUUCUGGGCAAGAAACUUUCUUCUCUCUUGGCCGGGCUGUCCAUCAACCCACCUGGGGCGUUCCAUCUGUGUACAAAAUCUUUCUCUCUUGGUCGGGAUUCCUGUCCAUCCACCCAUACUGGCAAGGAACCUUCCCCUUACCUGGUUGGGAUUGCCCAUCCAUCCCGAAUGGUAAAAAUUCAACAGAAAUAAGAAUAGUUGCAUCAGAUAUUUCAAAUAUUAAAAUGUGUGCUUCAAAUUAAAUGUUUAAAAUAUAAAUAUUCUUGAUUGUAAUCAAAAUAUGUCAUUUUCCACUCUUUGAUAAAGGUCCAUAUGCCUAUUAAAGGAUCAUAAAUUACAUCAUAUUAAUAAUCACCGACCUUAAAACAGUAUCUUACAUGAUUGUUUCCAUUUCUAACCUUCUAGGAGUGGCUCUUAGAGGGCUAGGACCACAGUAAAGAAUCAGAUAUUUAUUCAUGAUCAGCAACUUUGAAAUAGCAUAAAACAACUCUCCACCUGCCUGUAAUACCAAUCCCCAGUUUUCUGAAAACGAAUAACUUUGACUUAUAUCCCAUUAGGAGAUUAUCCCCUGGAUUGAUUAAUGCGGCAAGCACAACUUUAAGUCCUUCUGAUCAUUUUUGCAGACACCUAUUGAUUUAAUCUUAGUCCUAAGGGUGUAGUUUCCUGCACAAAAUGUGGUCCAAAAUGACCAUAAAAUGAUGGCGUUUCAGGU